rnacentral:rRNA from 1 species
AUUGAACGCUGGCGGCAUGCCUUACACAUGCAAGUCGAACGGUAACAGGGAGCUUGCUCCGCUGACGAGUGGCGAACGGGUGAGUAAUAUAUCGGAACGUACCAUUGAGUGGGGGAUAACGUAGCGAAAGUUGCGCUAAUACCGCAUAUUCUCUCCGGAGGAAAGCAGGGGACCGCAAGGCCUUGCGCUCAUUGAGCGGCCGAUAUCAGAUUAGCUAGUUGGUGGGGUAAAAGCUCACCAAGGCGACGAUCUGUAGCGGGUCUGAGAGGAUGAUCCGCCACACUGGAACUGAGACACGGUCCAGACUCCUACGGGAGGCAGCAGUGGGGAAUUUUGGACAAUGGGGGCAACCCUGAUCCAGCCAUGCCGCGUGAGUGAAGAAGGCCUUCGGUUGUAAGACUCUUUCUAGCCGGGAAGAAAACGACCGAUUGGUUAAGUUACCUGAUGUGGAUGAGGUACCGGAAGUAAGAAGCACCGGCUAACUACGUGCCAGCA